rnacentral:rRNA from 1 species
CAGAGGAACCUGUCCCGUAAUCGAUAAUCCACGUUGGACCUUACUUAAGUUUGUUUAGUUUAUAUACCGUCGUUAUAAAAAACUUUUUUAGAAAAAUAGUUUUUAAUAAUUAGUAUUAUAAUUUAUAUCAGAUCAAGGUGUAGCUUAUGCUUAAGUGGUGAUGGGUUACAGUAAAUUUAUUUAUACGGAUUUUAUAUUGAAAUUAAAAAUGAAGGUGGAUUUGAAAGUAAAUUCCUAGAGAUAGAGGGGUUGAAAUUAGCUCUAAAGUAUGUAC